UACAGAGGUCUCAAGCGUUGUUCGGAUUCAUUGGGCGUAAAGGGUGUGUAGGUGGCGCCGUUAGUCGGGUGUGAAAUUUCGGAGCUUAACUCCGAAACUGCAUUCGAUACUGCGGUGCUUGAGGACUGGAGAGGAGACUGGAAUUCAUGGUGUAGCAGUGAAAUGCGUAGAGAUCAUGAGGAAGACCAGUGGCGAAGGCGGGUCUCUGGACAGUUCCUGACACUGAGACACGAAGGCCAGGGGAGUAAACGGG
rnacentral:rRNA from 1 species